rnacentral:pre_miRNA from 1 species
UGCGCGAUGGUCACCUUGCCCAGCAGCUUGCUGAGCUCCUCGUCGUUGCGGAUGGCCAGCUGCAGGUGACGCGGGGCGAUG